ACCUGGCUGGCUCAGUCGGUAGAGUGUGUGACUCUUGAUCUCAGGGUUGUGGGUUUGAGCCCCAUGUUGGGUG